rnacentral:rRNA from 1 species
GGCGAACGCUGGCGGCGGGCUUAACACAUGCAAGUCGAACGGAAAGGCACUACUUUUGUGGGGUGCUCGAGUGGCGAACGGGUGAGUAACACGUGAGUAACCUGCCCUUGACUUUGGUAUAACUUCAGGAAACUGGGGCUAAUACCGGAUAGGAGCUCAUGCUGCAUGGUGGGGGUUGGAAAUUUUCGGCGGUUGGGGAUGGACUCGCGGCUUAUCAGCUUGUUGGUGGGGGAGUGGCUUACCCAGGCUUUGACGGGUAGCCGGCCUGAGAGGGUGACCGGCGACAUUGGGACUGAGAGACGGACCAGACUCCUACGGGAGGCAGCAGUGGGGAAUAUUGCACAAUGGGCGGAAGCCUGAUGCAGCAACGCCGCGGUCGGGAUGACGGCUUUCGGGGUGUAAACCGCUUUCGCCUGUGACGAAGCGUGAGUGACGGUAAUGGGUAAAGAAGCACCGGCUAACUACGUG